rnacentral:rRNA from 1 species
CGUGUAGGCGGCCAGAUAGGUCCGUUGUGAAAACUCGAGGCUCAACCUCGAGACGCCGAUGGAAACCAUCUGGCUAGAGUCCGGAAGAGGAGAGUGGAAUUCCUGGUGUAGCGGUGAAAUGCGCAGAUAUCAGGAAGAACACCCGUGGCUAAGGCGGCUCUCUAGUACGGUACUGACGCUGAGACGCGAAAGCGUGGGAGCGAACA